rnacentral:rRNA from 1 species
AGGGGUAAACCUGAGAAACCCGAAAGGUCGAAGGAAGAAAUUCAUUCGCGUUUCGACGAAGGCGGCGGCCGGUCGCGCGACGCGAGACUACAGUAUGACUCGCGCGCCCUCCGGUCGUCGAACCGACGGCGAACGCGUGCACUUUUCUUCUGGUAGGACGUCGCGAUCCGUCGGGCGUCAGUCUACGGCCCGCGGUGGAGCCCGCCCGUCGCUUCGCGCGUACGGACGGACCCGCGGUGUUCCCGGCUGACUCGCUCGACGGUAUACCGAUGGUCGGGGGCCGCUCAUUCGGAGCGUUCGACUCGCGGCAAGCGCGCCAGACGCGUCGGCGAUCGGACCUAGUGCCGAUUCCGGCCUCUGGCGACUGUUGGCCGUCGAAGUUCUCGAACAGACCUCUGUUUCAAGACCGAUCGGCGACGCUAUAGCUUUGGGUACUUUCAGGACCCGUCUU